UACGGAGGAUGCAAGCGUUAUCCGGAAUGAUUGGGCGUAAAGCGUCCGCAGGUGGCGAUGUAAGUCUGCUGUUAAAGAGUGAGGCUCAACCUCAUAAGAGCAGUGGAAACUACAUAGCUAGAGUACGUUCGGGGCAGAGGGAAUUCCUGGUGUAGCGGUGAAAUGCGUAGAGAUCAGGAAGAACACCAAUGGCGAAGGCGCUCUGCUAGGCCGUAACUGACACUGAGGGACGAAAGCUAGGGGAGCGAAUGGG
rnacentral:rRNA from 1 species